GGGAGACAAGGUUGCAAGCAUUGUCUGUUUCUGGAACUUUAAAUUUAUUUUACAAUGAAUUCUAAAGAAGGUCAUUUUUUUUUUUUUCUUUUUUUUUUUAGUUCGUACACUUCAGUUGCUGUAACUAAGCCAUUUCAUGAAAUAACUGGCAAAAAGCUAGAUCCAUUUGUUAAGAACUAAUAUUUUGACUCAAACCAAAAAAAAAGUAUUUUAAGUUCUUAAUCAGAUGAUACAGGCAAUUAAAAAC